UAGGGAAUCUUCGGCAAUGGACGGAAGUCUGACCGAGCAACGCCGCGUGAGUGAAGAAGGUUUUCGGAUCGUAAAGCUCUGUUGUAAGAGAAGAACGAGUGUGAGAGUGGAAAGUUCACACUGUGACGGUAUCUUACCAGAAAGGGACGGCUAACUACGUGCCAGCAGCCGCGGUAAUACGUAGGUCCCGAGCGUUGUCCGGAUUUAUUGGGCGUAAAGCGAGCGCAGGCGGUUAGAUAAGUCUGAAGUUAAAGGCUGUGGCUUAACCAUAGUAGGCUUUGGAAACUGUUUAACUUGAGUGCAAGAGGGGAGAGUGGAAUUCCAUGUGUAGCGGUGAAAUGCGUAGAUAUAUGGAGGAACACCGGUGGCGAAAGCGGCUCUCUGGCUUGUAACUGACGCUGAGGCUCGAAGGCGUGGGGAGCAAACAGGAUUAGAUACCCUGGUAGUCCACGCUGUAAACGAUGAGUGCUAGGUGUUAGACCCUUUCCGGGGUUUAGUGCCGUAGCUAACGCAUUAAGCACUCCGCCUGGGGAGUACGACCGCAAGGNUG
rnacentral:rRNA from 1 species